rnacentral:rRNA from 1 species
AUGCGAUGCUACUUGAUGCCGGAGCCCAGGAGCCAGACGCCACUGUCGACGACGACUCCUACUACACCAGAGGUGCCUACUACUACGUGCAGCCCGCUGACGACGACCAGGAGUAGUUUAGGAGGAUCCCAGGCAGGAGGCCUGCGCCUCUUUCGAUCUGUAUCCCAGUUUGUGCUAGCCUUCCUAAGGCAAACUUGUUUAACUUAUGUCUGUACUCAGAUAUUGUUGCUUCCGCUGACUCGUCUAUGA